CAAUAGCGUAUAUUAAAGUUGUUGCAGUUAGAACGCUCGUAGUCGGAUUUCGGGGCGGGCCGACCGGUCUGCCGAUGGGUAUGCACUGGUCGGCGCGUCCUUCCUUCCGGAGACCGUUCCUACUCUUAACUGAGCGGGGGCGGGAGACGGAUCGUUUACUUUGAAAAAAUCAGAGUGCUUCAAGCAGGCAGCUCGCUCUUGCAUGGAUUAGCAUGGGAUAAUGAAAUAGGACUUUGGUGCUAUUUUGUUGGUUUCGAACACCGAAGUAAUGAUUAAAAGGGACAGUCAGGGGCACUCGUAUUCCGCCGAGAGAGGUGAAAUUCUCAGACCAGCGGAAGACGAACUACUGCGAAAGCAUUUGCCAGGGAUGUUUUCACUG
rnacentral:rRNA from 1 species